rnacentral:rRNA from 1 species
AUGUGGGUUUGUAUUUCUGACGUUUUUGACAUUAAAAAGAUAAUCAAAGAUAUCAUUGAGUGUGCCACUGAUGGGGUGUGUGAUAGGUCCCGCAGUUUAAAUGUUCUUCAAGGGGAACUAAGGAAAAUUCUGAUGAAGCAAAAGUUUCUUCUAGUGUUGGAUGAUAUAUGGCCAAAUGCUAUUGAUGAAUGGCAGACAUUUUUUGCACCAUUCAGGAAUGUACUUGAAGGCAGUGUCAUCUUAGUGACUACAAGAUUUGCGACUAUUGUCUGCCUUGUCACAAACACUAGGACCAUUGAACUCAAAGGAUUGCCUGAAGAUACAUUUUUGGAGUUCUUCAACAUAUGUGCAUUUGGUACAGAUUGUGCAGAAUCGUAUCCAAAGUUGCAGGUCAUUGGUCAGGACGUGGCCUCUCGGUUGUGUGGGUCUCCCUUGGCAGCUAAAACUCUUGGCCGCUUGUUGAAUAUGGAGCUCACAGAACGCCAUUGGAUAACUGUCCAGAAUAGUGAAUUGUGGGAGCUGCCACAUCAGGACAAUGAGAUAUUGCCAGCCCUUCAACUCAGCUACCUCUAUCUUCCACCGGAACUUAAGAGAUGCCUUGCACUUUGUUCAAUGUUUCCCAAAGGUUAUAGAUUUGAAAGAGAUGAGAUAGUUGACAUUUGGGUGACACAUGGCUUUGUUGUGCCGGAAGGAAGCAUGGAUCCCGAAGAGUUGGGUGUUGCAUACUUGGAUGAUUUGAGAAGCAGAUUCCUUCUUCAAACUGAUCCUAGGUUCCGUGAUCUAAGUAGAUAUGUAAUGCAUGACUUGAUCCAUGCCAUGGCACAAUCUGUUUCACUAGAUGAAUGUUUUUUGUUGCAAGAUAAGAACUAUCCUAAUCAGAGGAAAAUACCACCCACAGUUCGCCAUAUGUCAAUUGAGGUCCACAGUGAAGUUUAG